rnacentral:rRNA from 1 species
AUACGGAGGGGGCUAGCGUUGUUCGGAAUUACUGGGCGUAAAGCGCGCGUAGGCGGCUUAUCAAGUUAGGCGUGAAAGGCCUGGGCUCAACCCGGGAACUGCGCUUAAUACUGGUAGGCUUGAGUCCGGGAGAGGGUGGCGGAAUUCCCAGUGUAGCGGUGAAAUGCGUAGAUACUGGGAGGAACACCAGCGGCGAAGGCGGCCACCUGGACCGGUACUGACGCUGAGGUGCGAAAGCGUGGGGAGCAAACAGGAUUAGAAACCCCAGUAGUCC